GACGAACGCUGGCGGCGUGCUUAACACAUGCAAGUCGAACGGAGAGGCCCUGCUUUUGUGGGGUGCUCGAGUGGCGAACGGGUGAGUAACACGUGAGUAACCUGCCCUUGACUUUGGGAUAACUUCAGGAAACUGGGGCUAAUACCGGAUAGGAGCUCCUGCUGCAUGGUGGGGGUUGGAAAGUUUCGGCGGUUGGGGAUGGACUCGCGGCUUAUCAGCUUGUUGGUGGGGUAGUGGCUUACCAAGGCUUUGACGGGUAGCCGGCCUGAGAGGGUGACCGGCCACAUUGGGCCUGCGAUACGGCCCAGACUCCUACGGGAGGCAGCAGUGGGGAAUAUUGCACAAUGGGCGGAAGCCUGAUGCAGCAACGCCGCGUGCGGGAUGACGGCCUUCGGGUUGUAAACCGCUUUCGCCUGUGACGAAGCGUGAGUGACGGUAAUGGGUAAAGAAGCACCGGCUAACUACGUG
rnacentral:rRNA from 1 species